AAUGUAUGAUGCCGUUGACUUUUUAUCCGACGUUUGACUAUUCGUCUUAUUCAAAAAAUUUAUACAAUUAUCAUUUAUUUUAUUGUGACUCGAUUCAUCAUCAAAUGUUCUUUAAGCUUGAUAUAAAUACUUUCAUAUUUGCACGAAAAUUUUGAAUAAAACGAAUGAUCAAACGUUGGUCGAAAAGUCAACGGCGUCAUACAUU
rnacentral:pre_miRNA from 1 species